rnacentral:rRNA from 1 species
CACGUAGGGUGCGAGCGUUUGUCCGGAAUUAUUGGGCGUAAAGAGCUCGUAGGCGGUGUGUCGCGUCGGCCGUGAAAACCCGGAGCUCAACUCCGGGCCUGCAGUCGAUACGGGCGGACUCGAGUUCGGCAGGGGAGACUGGAAUUCCUGGUGUAGCGGUGAAAUGCGUAGAUAUCGAGAGGAACACCUGCGGCGAAGGCGGUUACCUGGAGCUUUGCUGACGCUGAUGCGCGAAAGCGUGGGGAGCGAUCCGG